rnacentral:lncRNA from 10 species
GAAAAUUGGCUUGCUUUUUGAGAGUUUGAUAAAGGAGAGGGUUGGGGGUGUGGGCUGUGGGUGGGUUGGUUCGUAUAUCAAAGACAGGCUCACAGGGGAGUCUUUCGCCAUGCCUAGGAAUUAGCUAGUCCUGUGAGGGCAGUCUCUCAAGGAUCAAGGCCCCAGAUGCCAGAGCAUCAAGAAUAUGGAAAAUCAGAGAACAUGAUCAAUAUACCAGCUCAUCCCUGGAUGAAGCUCCCUGCCUUUCCUCAUACAGACAAAAAAGUGCAAUCCUCAAUUUUCCGGCCUACCUUGUAGCUGGGAGCUAUAAAAUGAAGUUCAUCAGGCAUGAGCGGUCUGCUGGUACUGCUUCUUCCCGCUUCCCCUUCUUCUUGCUUUGGGAUGGGAUGCGAUGUUUGCUGCUGUAACAGCCAUUUGCAGCCAUAAGGAAAAGGCCAAAUGAAUUGCAGUGGUGUCCAUUGAACCAAUUCUGUAUUUUUCUGGACUUCUUGUUUUGUGAGAAAAAUAAACUGCUAUUUAAACCACU